rnacentral:rRNA from 1 species
CCCUUAGACGUUCUGGGCCGCACGCGCGCUACACUGACGAAGGCAACGAGCUUUCCUUUACCGAAAGGUACGGGUAAUCUUUUGAAGCUUCGUCGUGCUGGGGAUAGAUCCUUGCAAUUUUUGAUCUUAAACGAGGAAUUCCUAGUAAGCGCAAGUCAUCAACUUGCGUUGAUUACGUCCCUGCCCUUUGUACACACCGCCCGUCGCUACUACCGAUUGAAUGGUUUAGUGAGGCCUUCGGAUCCGCGACUCGUUUUGUGGAGAAGUUGGACAAACUCAGUCAUUUAGAGGAAGUAAAAGUCGUAACA